rnacentral:lncRNA from 1 species
CAAUUUUGUCAAACACAUCCACUUUAAAAUUGUUGAUUAAGAUGCUGCCGAUGUUAUAAUAUCUAUAAAAAUAUGAUGUAUCAGUGUGGUCGGAAUGAAGUAUAGUGCUGUUGCACGGAUUCGAGAGCUAUGACUUAAUAAACUCUUUAGCCCACUCAACAAAUAGAUUCUUCCUCAAUCGGGUUUCACCGUCUUAAUAGUCCUUGGCUUAUGAAACAAUCUUUAUAUUCUUCUAGUCUUUUUUUCGACCAUGCAUAAGGUCCACUAGCAUCUUCUAUUGACGAAGCUCCCAAAUCUUGAUUGCAAGAGAAUCCACAUCU